rnacentral:tRNA from 1 species
GGGCGCGUAGCUCAGCUGGACAGAGCGUCGGACUUCUAAUCCGACGGUCGCGGGUUCAAAUCCCGUCGCGCCCG